GUGCCACAACAGUUCUGUGGCCUACCACUGAUUUGGAGCACAGACCUAGAGCGUACGCUCAGAGUGCCGCUGAGCGUCCAUGGGGCUGGAAGGGAGCCUCAGUCUCAUCCCUAAUGCUAUUCUCAGUGUUACCUCAUCUCUUUUAGGAUGUGUGUAAUGACUGCCCACCUGGCCCCCCGGGGCUCCCUGGAGUGCCAGGCUUCAAGGGCGAUAGAGGGGCCCAAGGACCUCCGGGCAGAGAUGGCCUGAAUGGGAAAAUGGGCGAUCCUGGACCCCGGGGUCUCCCAGGCCCCCCAGGGGUGGAUGGUCCAAAGGGCACUAAAGGAGACCGUGGGACAUCUGGAGAUGCUGGACCAAAAGGUGGACAGGUAAAAAAGUGUGCUUCCCAAGUAGUACAACUGGAAUAUGUGUCU
rnacentral:lncRNA from 1 species